rnacentral:rRNA from 1 species
CAUGAAGCUGGAUUCGCUAGUAAUCGCGCAUCAGCCACGGCGCGGUGAAUACGUUCCCGGGCCUUGUACACACCGCCCGUCAAGCCAUGGAAGCCGGGAGUACCUGAAGAUCGUGACCGCGAGGAACGGGCUAGGGUAAUACCGGUAACUGGGGCUAAGUCGUAACAAGGUACC